rnacentral:rRNA from 1 species
UACAGAGGGUGCAAGCGUUAAUCGGAAUUACUGGGCGUAAAGCGCGCGUAGGUGGUUCGUUAAGUUGGAUGUGAAAUCCCCGGGCUCAACCUGGGAACUGCAUUCAAAACUGUCGAGCUAGAGUAUGGUAGAGGGUGGUGGAAUUUCCUGUGUAGCGGUGAAAUGCGUAGAUAUAGGAAGGAACACCAGUGGCGAAGGCGCCUUGCUGGCCAAUUUCUGACGCUGAGGCGCGAAAGCGUGGGGAGCAAACAGG